CACCCGCUGAAUUUAA
rnacentral:rRNA from 1 species